AAACGACUCUCGGCAACGGAUAUCUCGCGUCUCGCAUCGAUGAAGAACGUAGCGAAAUKCGAUACUUGGUGUGAAUUGCAGAAUCCCGUGAACCAUCGAGUUUUUGAACGCAAGUUGCGCCCGAAGCCAUUAGGCCGAGGGCACGUCUGCCUGGCGUCACGCA
rnacentral:rRNA from 1 species